GAUUGCAUCUGGCAAAGCAGCACCUCUUUUAAGAGCCACAAAGGCUGCUGGUAUUGAGACAAAAGAAAUGGAUGGUUAGGGCAAGAAGAAGAGAUUGAAGAUUUGGGUUUCAACAGGACUGAAAUAUUGUAUAGCACCGUUAUAACUAAACGAACGAAGUGAAAAUUAAGGAAAUAUAUAAACCACAUUUCCUACAGCAAAGCUAACCACUACCAACAACCAAGGCAUUUUAAAAGCUUCAAGCAAGAGUGGCUUCCAUACAUAUUACACAUUAUGCAGCAAGGCUAAAAUAAAGACAUUGCCCUGGUUUGAUUGCAGUACACUUCUUCCUUCUUCAGGCAAGAUAUCCAACAUACUUUGAAAAAAUAAUUAUUUUGCCACAGACCUCAGAGCUUGUAAAAUAUGCUAUAUUGCUAUGGUGAUUGAUAGCAAGGAUUUCCUCUAUUA